CCCUGGCUGGCUCAGUAGGUGGAGCGCGCGACUCCCAAUCUCGGGGUUGUGAGGUCGAGCCCCACGCUGGGUG
rnacentral:tRNA from 1 species